GGUUGCGAGUUGAUUGAGCUGGUUCGAGAUUCAGGUGCCCGAGCGGCAGAGUGAGGGUUCUCAGCAUUUUCGAAGCUUGUCGGAGACUGCAAGAUGGUGAGGAUACGUGCUACCGGUCAGGAU